AAUAAGUAUAAUUAUAUAGUCUAUAUCCAACGUUUAACGAUUCGUCUUAUUUAAAAAAAUUAUGAUUAGUAUUUUUUAUUGUUAUUAGAUGAUAAAACAUAAAUAGUUCUUUAUAUGUGACCUUUUUUAUUUUUUUAUAAUUUUUUUAAAUAAGAUGAACGGUCAAAUAUUGGACAAGAUGCACUUAUU
rfam:Oryza glaberrima chromosome 7 Oglab07_0153_23, whole genome shotgun sequence.